rnacentral:ncRNA from 1 species
AUAGAAUGGCAAGCUUGCAGUGCGAGGAAGCCGGUGCAAAUCCGGCACGGUCGCGCCACUGUAUGCGGUUCGUGAGCUUAAAGGCGCUCUGCCGCGAGUCAGACCCCGCUGCAUGCUCUUCAUCAAU